CCAGUAGACAUUGCAGGCUGUGAGAGGGAAAAAAAAAAAUCUUUGGAAAACACAACAAAAGGACAAAACCUCCAAAUGCUCCAAUUUGUAUCGUCUCCAGCUGUUGCUUCUCAUUGUGUUCUCUGGAAGGAUAAGAGGAUUUCUGUCACCUGUCACCGUUUGCCAUGUUUGUGGCAGUUUUGAUUUCUCGGUCUUCUAUCUGCCCUUGCUCCUGAGAGACACAUCAUCAAACUGGAAAGAACAGGUCUGGGCACGUGAUGUUUUGCUGUGAGCUCUCACGUGCAAGGGGCAUGACUUUGGCCAGCUGAGAACAUCCGUGGUGGACUCUGUGGAGAGAAGAUACAUAGAGCCCCACCACCACCAUACACACACUGAGACUUCACUUUUUGGAUCAACAUCACUGCGCUGAUCUUCCUGCUUCAGUACUUGACUUCACAGAGAGAAACGUUCCAGAGAUCUUCUCAAGAAAGAAGACUGUUAUCUUAAAACAUUAUGUGGGUGCUGGGAUCGAACUCACUCCCCACAAGAGCACAAGUGCUCUUAACCACACUGCAGCUCUCCAGCCUGUUGCUUUAUUUCUGCUGUACUAACAUCAGCACUAUGCUGAAGAGAACAUCUACAGAGAAGACAAGGGGCGCCAUGGAACCAAAGUAACUAAACUGGAGACUGCAGGAUGGUCAGCCAGACCGUCAAGGAAACCUGCUCCACCCAACCUGCGCCUACACCAAGAAAAACAUCUGUCUGCUAAGAAGCAACCUAGAAUAAACAUCAGCGGAGGCUCUCGGGGAGGGAGACAGCAAACUGGAAAAAAAGGCUUUGGCAUCAUCAGCAAAGGGUGAGAAUGAAGCUGAAGAGGGAGAAUGAGCUGUGUGAAAAAUUUGGGUUGAAUUUAUGUAUUUCUUGGGACAACUUCUCAAAGCUAUUUUUACUAAGUAGUUUGUGAGAGCUAAUUUUUAGAGCUCUAGUCUCUCUCUCU